rnacentral:rRNA from 1 species
AUUAUGGCUCAGGAUGAACGCUAGCGGCAGGCUUAACACAUGCAAGUCGAGGGGCAACGCGAGUAGCAAUACUUGGCGGCGACCGGCGCAAGGGUGCGUAACGCGUGAGCAACAUGCCCGUAUCAGGGGGAUAAUCCAGGGAAACUUGGUCUAAUACCCAUAGUAAUUUUGUAAGGCAUCUUAUAAGAUUUUAAAGCUUUGGUGGAUACGGAUUGGCUCGCGUGACAUUGGCUGGAUGGUAAGGUAACGGCUUACCAUGGCUAUGAUGUCUAGGGGUUCUGAGAGGAAGGUCCCCCCACACUGGAACUGAGACACGGUCCAGACUCCUACGGGAGGCAGCAGUGAGGAAUAUUGGACAAUGGAUGGAAAUCUGAUCCAGCCAUGCCGCGUGAAGGAAGAAAGGUCCUAUGGAUUGUAAACUUCUUUUGUAUGGGAGCAAUAAGGCCUACGAGUAGGUUGAUGAGAGUACCAUACGAAUAAGCACCGGCUAACUCCGUGCCAGCAGCUGC